GUAGGGAAUCUUCCACAAUGGACGAAAGUCUGAUGGAGCAACGCCGCGUGAGUGAAGAAGGUCUUCGGAUCGUAAAACUCUGUUGUUAGAGAAGAACGUGCAUGAUAGUAACUGAUCAUGUAAUGACGGUAUCUAACCAGAAAGCCACGGCUAACUACGUGCCAGCAGCCGCGGUAAUACGUAGGUGGCAAGCGUUGUCCGGAUUUAUUGGGCGUAAAGGGAACGCAGGCGGUUUUUUAAGUCUGAUGUGAAAGCCUUCGGCUUAACCGAAGAAUAGCAUUGGAAACUGGAAGACUUGAGUGCAGAAGAGGAGAGUGGAAUUCCAUGUGUAGCGGUGAAAUGCGUAGAUAUAUGGAGGAACACCAGUGGCGAAGGCGACUUUCUGGACGAAAACUGACGCUGAGGCGCGAAAGCCAGGGGAGCGAACGGGAUUAGAUACCCUUGUAGUCC
rnacentral:rRNA from 1 species